UGACUGGUAGUAUUUGCUCCAGAGUCUGUGGGGAAAAAGCAAAGCUACAGAAUCAUAAAAUUUUGCUGGAAUCCAUGUAAUUAACUCCCAGAAUGGAGCCAGGGACUGGAGCUUGGCAGCGAGUUGAGCAAUGAACUGCAGGAAGGAGUUGCUGUGUGUCACUUCAGGGCAGACUUUUGUAAUUGUAAUUCUUAUUUACAAAGAGAGUUAUCAUGUUUUUCUCUGACUGUGCUAUUGCUGUUCUCAGGGAUUAAGAGACACCAAAACCCACCAACAUUUUGAUGUCUUGUUCAGAUAAAGAAGAAAGAACAUCUGUCCCUGGCAAAUCACAAAUAAUAGAGGAAAGUUGGUGAGGUGAUCAGGAGAGAUUUGAGUGAGAAGCAGGAAGCAACUGGCAGUUCACAAGAGCCCAAAAUCAGACUGAGUGUCACGUGGCACAAGGGCUGGGCACGUCCACGUGAGUUUCUCAUGACUCUGAACUUGCUGUGAUGAUAAAGUGUUGAUCUUGAUCAUAUCUGAGCUAUCUACAUCAACUCCUUCCCUGAGUGCUGAGCUCUCUGAACAAAUCCUGCAGCCAAGGGACAGAAAAAGGAUGUUUUCAAACUCGUUUUGGGGAGGAUCCUUCUCACCCAGCACUGCAAACUGUGGACAAGGUCACACUCACCAACUUUUUUGUCUUCAGAGGAGCCUGGACUUCAUCCCACUGCUGGAGGAGGAGGAAGCUGUGAGUAUCCAAUUAGUUUGCAUGGAGUGGGAAGUGACAACAAUAAUUCCCCUCAAGAGCACUUCACAUCUGGUUUUUUUCUAACUCCAAGCUACGUAAAAUAUUAAUUUUUAUUGCCAUUUUAUUCCAUGUAAGACACAGACGAGGUUAUACAACAUUCUACUUAUUUCUCACACCACAGCAACAAUAAUUUACAUUGAGAGCUGUAAAUUAUGAGACCAUUGGCAAUAGCAGGGAGUAAAUGCUUCCUAAAAUGCUUUAAUAGGAGAGCUGGUUCCUAUAUGUGUGUUCCUUGUAACUCAGUUCAGUCUAAACUGGUAGUUAAUUGGGUUGUCAUAUUUAUAGGGUGAGUAUUCAAACAUGUCUAAACUUCACAAACCCUUCUGUAACGAGAGAAAGACAAUGUUAGAGCCAAAUCAACCCCAAACUUUUAAGCCUGUCUGCACAGCAAGCUCAAUAAGCACUUUUGCAGAUCUGCCUGAAACCUGUGCCAUUGCAAUGCCAUUAUUCUCUUUAUCAGCGUGUAGGUAAGUCCUAGGACUGGUGGAAAACCCAAAAAUAUGAAGUUUGUUUAAUAAAACCUCUUAAAAUGGGUGGCAUGAAACCGAAUUAUUUCAACUGGAAUAUAUACACUGGGGAAAAGCGAGAUCUUGAAUAUUCACAUUACAGCUCAUUGAAAAGGCAAUGGGCUAUGCAACAAGAUUGACAACAAAGGGAAAAAUGAUGAGGAAAAUUGCCUUACUUAUCUGCUAGAGUGCUCUUGACUGCCAACUGUAAUUUUAUGGUUCAUUAUAUAAAAAAAUACCAUUAAUGUUAGUACUUGUGUAUCAUAAUCACGAGAAGAAGGGAAAAAGUUCAUUGAAAUGUGCUCCAUUUUUAAUCAAGACACUAUAAUUGUGUGUUUUUCAGGCAUCAUCAAUUUCCAUCAAUUUUACUACUGCAAAAAUAAUGUGCUGCUCCAGUUCUUCCACAGGUCAAUGCCUGCGUGAGGUACAUUGACUGCAGGAUGCAAACUGUAAAUAAACAGUGGCAUAAUUUAUCUUCUCUGAUAUUACUUGAUUCAUCCCAAGCUUUAAGUUGAUAAGGGGAGAAAAUGGGCCGGCUGGGUUUGAAUUGUGUGGUGCAUCACAUAACUUAGAAAUGGCAGGAACUUUUGUUAUAUAAAUGUUGUUAUAUAAAAUGUCAGGCAACAGCCAAUAUUAGCAGUGCAGAGCCAGUAUCACGCAGCAAAUGUGUCUGUCAGCUUAUCUGUGUGCUUUCAGGAGCUGGGAAAAUCACAGAGCAGAUAAAAUUGUCUGAAACAAUGGCAGGGGCUGCACUGAGAAGUGUCACAAGCCUGGUGGAUUGGCCACCUCAAGGUAACUCUCUGAGCACCAGAGAAUCUGAGGAGAAAGGGGGACAAAGGUGUUGGUAAUUCAGGUGCUCCGUGUCUUUUGUUGAAAAUGGGGCACAAGGAAUUUUAGUGGCAUGUUUGGGUGCCCAGCAAGUUUUGUGCAGAACGAGUUUUCUGAGUUAAUGUUGGUGUUAUUCCAGUGGGAUGUUGGGGAACAAGUUCACAGCAGAGCUCAGUCCUGGUGCAACCCUGGAGAACAGCAGAGUCCCUUUCCCAAGGGCUUCCUUCUUGACAAAAGAGAGAUGAUUCCCAGAUGAUGCAUUCCUACUUAAGGGAUGCUCAGAUUUUAUUCCACAAAUCCAUGGUUGAGACUGACCUUGAGGAAGAGCUUCUCCUUUCUCCUGGGAAUGUGCUCUGGGUUUUGAAGCCUGGGAAAGUAUGAAUUAUUCCAAAGCACAGAGUGCUGCAGUGUGUGUGUCUGUGUUUGUUGCUCCAGGAACUUCAACACAGCUUCUCCCCUGUGCCUGGCUCGGAGGGACUGGCUCUCUGGUUGCCCAUAUUUUGCUUUUCAAGAGGAAUUUGGCUUGAUCAGGUCUCACAGCGCUGUCUGAGAUGAUUUUGGAUCACCAAAUAAUAUGGAUUGCAAGGUCAGAUCAAAAUCUUUGCUACUGAAGUUUAACAGUUAGUUUGGAAUAUUAAGCAUGGAGAUGUCAUGGUAAUUGAGCAAAUAUUAGAUGUUUUAUGUAGCCUGUGCCACAGGAAAGCCUGAAAACAGUGUCUGCUGCUCCAUCUAAUAACUGGGGAAAAGGAGGGAACAUUCAUCAUG